rnacentral:rRNA from 1 species
CCCUUAGAUGUCCUGGGCCGCACGCGCGCUACACUGACAUGUUCAACAAGCCUCCUAGUUCGACAGGAUUUGGGAAAUCUUUGAACGCAUGUCGUGAUAGGGAUAGAUCAUUGCAAUUAUUGAUCUUGAACGAGGAAUUCCUAGUAAACGCGAGUCAUCAGCUCGCAUUGAUUACGUCCCUGCCCUUUGUACACACCGCCCGUCGCUCCUACCGAUUGAAGUUUUCGGUGAGUUGACAGGAGGAUUUUUUUGAAACUGGUUCGCCAGUGGAUUUUAGAUCCAAAUGCCAACGAAUCGAUGGCUUUAGAGGAAGGAGAAGUCGUAACA